CACAUUUUCACCUACCUCAUCCCCACAGUUUUUAUUUAUUUACUUUUCUGCUCUUUUGCACACCAAUAUCUCUACCUGUACAUGAUCAUUUAUCAUUCCAGUGUUAAUCUGCAAUAUUGUAAUUAUUUGCCUACCUCCUCAUGCCUUUUGCACACAUUGCAUAUAGACUCCCCUUUUUUUCUACUGUGUUAUUGACUUGUUAAUUGUUUACUCCAUGUGUAACUCUGUGUUGUCUGUUCACACUGCUAUGCUUUAUCUUGGCCAGGUCGCAGUUGUAAAUGAGAACUUGUUCUCAACUAGCCUACCUGGUUAAAUAAAGGUGAAAUAAAAUAAAAAUAAAUAAAAUAAAACAUCCCUGAUGUGGGAGUUCUUCUCCAGACUGGAGAAGCUGCUUCCAACACCAACAUUUCAACAGACUGCGUCCUGGCUCAGACCUGCCCCCUCUAUGCUGAAGGAGUGUGCACAGUCUGUGACUCAACCUCAGCCUUUGAAGAUUCUCCUCCAACACCACAGAUGCCAUGGCCAUUUGUUUGCUAAUGGUGGACUCCAAUCAAGUUGUAGAAACACCUCAAGGAUGAUCAAUGGAAACAGGAUGCACCUGAGCUCAAUUUCGAGUCUCAUCGAAAAAGGUCUGAAUACUUAUGUAAAUAAGGUAUUUCUGUUUAACUUUUUUUUUUUUACAACAAUUUCUAAACCUGUUUUCGCUUUGUCAUUACGGGGUAUUGUGUGUAGAUU